rnacentral:snoRNA from 12 species
GAGCAAUGAUGUGAAGUUACUGAACCUGAAAUGUGUUUGAUUGAAAUACAUUUCAUGAUGGUUUCUACACUUGAACUGAGCUCA